rnacentral:rRNA from 1 species
GACGAACGCUGGCGGCGUGCCUAAUACAUGCAAGUAGAACGCUGAAGAGAGGAGCUUACUCUUCUUGGAUGAGUUGCGAACGGGUGAGUAACGCGUAGGUAACCUGCCUUGUAGCGGGGGAUAACUAUUGGAAACGAUAGCUAAUACCGCAUAACAAUGGAUGACACAUGUCAUUUAUUUGAAAGGGGCAAUUGCUCCACUACAAGAUGGACCUGCGUUUUAUUAGCUAGUAGGUGAGGUAAUGGCUCACCUAGGCGACGAUACAUAGCCGACCUGAGAGGGGGAGCGGCCACACUGGGACUGAGACACGGCCCAGACUCCUACGGGAGGCAGCAGGAGGGAAUCUUCGGCAAUGGGGGCAACCCUGACCGAGCAACGCCGCGUGAGUGAAGAAGGGUUUCGGAUCGUAAAGCUCUGUUGUAAGUCAAGAACGGGUGUGAGAGUGGAAAGUUCACACUGUGACGGUAGCUUACCAGAAAGGGACGGCUAACUACGUG